rfam:Habropoda laboriosa contig5865, whole genome shotgun sequence.
GGGGGCGUAGCUCAUACGGUAGAGCGCUCGCUUAGCAUGCGAGAGGUACCAGGAUCGAUGCCUGGCGCCUCCA